rnacentral:rRNA from 1 species
UACGGAGGGGGCUAGCGUUGUUCGGAAUUACUGGGCGUAAAGCGUGCGUAGACGGCUAUCUAAGUCGGGUGUGAAAGCCCCGGGCUCAACCUGGGAAUUGCAUUCGAGACUGAAUAGCUAGGGUACGGUAGAGGGAAGUGGAAUUUCCGGUGUAGCGGUGAAAUGCGUAGAUAUCGGAAGGAACACCAGUGGCGAAGGCGACUACCUGGCCUGUUCUUGACGCUGAGGCGGCGAAAAGCUAGGGGAGCAAAC